AGCGAACGCUGGCGGCAGGCCUAACACAUGCAAGUCGAACGAACUCUUCGGAGUUAGUGGCGGACGGGUGAGUAACACGUGGGAACGUGCCUUUUGGUUCGGAAUAACUCAGGGAAACUUGUGCUAAUACCGAAUGUGCCCUUCGGGGGAAAGAUUUAUCGCCAUUAGAGCGGCCCGCGUCUGAUUAGCUAGUUGGUGAGGUAACGGCUCACCAAGGCGACGAUCAGUAGCUGGUCUGAGAGGAUGACCAGCCACACUGGGACUGAGACACGGCCCAGACUCCUACGGGAAGCAGCAGUGGGGAAUCUAGCGCAAUGGGCGAAAGCCUGACGCAGCCAUGCCGCGUGAAUGAUGAAGGUCUUAGGAUUGUAAAAUUCUUUCACCGGGGACGAUAAUGACGGUACCCGGAGAAGAAGCCCCGGCUAACUUCGUG
rnacentral:rRNA from 1 species